UACGGAGGGUGCAAGCGUUAUCCGGAUUCACUGGGCUUAAAGGGUGCGUAGGCGGGUUGGUAAGUCCGUGGUGAAAUCCCCGAGCUUAACUCGGGAACUGCCAUGGAUACUAUUUGUCUUGAAUAUUGUGGAGGUAAGCGGAAUAUGUCAUGUAGCGGUGAAAUGCUUAGAUAUGACAUAGAACACCAAUUGCGAAGGCAGCUUACUACACAGUUAUUGACGCUGAGGCACGAAAGCGUGGGGAUCAAACAGG
rnacentral:rRNA from 1 species